rnacentral:lncRNA from 1 species
CAAUGAAAGGGGAAGGAUGAUGAAAUAAAAGUGGAGUCUCAAUUAGGCUCUAAAUGAGCAAGGCAAUGUUAAAUUUUCAACAGAGGAGGGGCCGGGGACUGGAGGAAGGAAAAAAUGAUUACGUGGAAGAAUUCAGCGCCCCAGUCUGGACUUAGCCAUUGAUUUCCUAUUUCAGCUCCAUAGAUGGACCAUAAAGGCCUUGCACAGUGCAUGGACCCCCCUGCCAUAUUUCUCUACGAUUUGCAUAAAGGAAAUACGAGCAAACUGAACAUCAGAGGGCUUAGCGAUUUGCUUGAGGCACAGCUACCAAGGAUCAGUGACUGAGAAAAGAACUGAGUAC